AUAGGGGAAUGAGGUUCUCCCCGAGCAUUUGCUCAAACCGCUUUAAAGCUGAUGACUUCUGCGAUUA
rnacentral:ncRNA from 1 species